CCUACGGGGGGCAGCAGUGGGGAAUAUUGCACAAUGGGGGAAACCCUGAUGCAGCGACGCCGCGUGAGUGAAGAAGUAUUUCGGUACGUAAAGCUCUAUCAGCAGGGAAGAAAAUGACGGUACCUGACUAAGAAGCCCCGGCUAACUACGUGCCAGCAGCCGCGGUAAUACGUAGGGGGCAAGCGUUAUCCGGAUUUACUGGGUGUAAAGGGAGCGUAGACGGCAGCGCAAGUCUGGAGUGAAAUCCCAUGGCUUUACCAUGGAACUGCUUUGGAAACUGUGCAGCGAGAGUGCAGGAGAGGUAAGCGGAAUUCCUAGUGUAGCGGUGAAAUGCGUAGAUAUUAGGAGGAACACCAGUGGCGAAGGCGGCUUACUGGACUGUAACUGACGUUGAGGCUCGAAAGCGUGGGGAGCAAACAGGAUUAGAUACCCUGGUAGUC
rnacentral:rRNA from 1 species